rnacentral:rRNA from 1 species
GACGAACGCUGGAGGCGUGCUUAACACAUGCAAGUCGAACGAUGAAAUGGAGCUUGCUCCAUGGAUUAGUGGCGAACGGGUGAGUAACACGUGAAUAACCUGCCCUUAAUUUUGGAAUAACCCAGGGAAACCUGGGCUAAUACCGGAUAAGUAAACCUGUGGCAUCACAUGGUUUUGGAAAGUUUUUCGAUUAAGGAUGGAUUCGCGGCCUAUCAGCUUGUUGGUGAGGUAAUGGCUCACCAAGGCGACGACGGGUAGCCGGCCUGAGAGGGUGAACGGCCACACUGGGACUGAGACACGGCCCAGACUCCUACGGGAGGCAGCAGUGGGGAAUAUUGCGCAAUGGACGAAGGUCUGACACAGCGACGCCUCGUGAGGGACGAAGGUCUUCGGAUUGUAAACCUCUUUCAGCAGGGACGAAGCGAAAGUGACGGUACCUGCAGAAGAAGCACCGGCUAACUAUGUGCCAGCCGCCGCAGUAA